rnacentral:lncRNA from 1 species
GAAGGGAGCAGUAGGGAGCCAGGGACCAACGGCACAGUUUAUAAAAAACGCUUGGGGGCAGCGGGCCCGCAGCCUGCCCACAGGUCGUGGGGAGAGAGCAAAUAGGACAGGAGCUCUGUCUGCAGCAGCAAGGAGAACCCAUCCCCUAUGCGGCCACAUAGCCAACGGCUCUGCUGCUGCAUGAAGCCCAGGCUCUGGGGCCUGACAGCCAGCCCACAACUGGGAUUUCACCCGCUAGUGUGUCUCCACUCACUGUUUGAAGACCACUGCUCUAGGCUAGGUCGUCGCUCUCUCGGUGAUGAACCUCGCUUCGGCAGCUCUCUGGCAUCAGACAGUGGAGCUGCUUGCAGAGACCUCCCAGUCCUUUGCUCUUCCUUGCUCACAACCCAGAACAAGCAUCCAGAGGAGCAUUCUAACCUGACCUCUGAUGCGCCACACCGUCCUUUCUUUUGGCCUUCUCUCCUGGUCACCUUCUUUUCCGGCAUCACGAAGCUCCCUCUUUCUCUCCUCUUACUCAUGGUUUCCUCCCAGUUUUCCAAACUCUGGAAACUUCUUCGUUAUUCAGAGAACAUGACUUGGGACUCCACCAUCUUGAGAGAUGAUGGCCAAGAAAUCCAGCUGAUUUCAGUUUAAA